rnacentral:tRNA from 1 species
UCCUGGUGGCUCAGAUGGUAAAGAGUCUGCCUGUAAUGCAGGAGACCUAGGUUCAAUCCCUGGGUCAGGAA